UAAUACGAAGGCCCCAAGCGUUAUCCGGAAUUACUGGGCGUAAAGCGUCUGUAGGUGGUUCGGAAAGUCUCAAGUGAAAGGUCAGGGCUCAACCCUGUACUUGCUUGGGAAACUAUCGAACUUGAGUGCGGGAGAGGCAAGCAGAACUGUAUGAGUAGGGGUGCAAUCCGUUGAUACAUACAAGAAUACCAAAAGCGAAGGCAGCUUGCUGGAACGCCACUGACACUGAGAGACGAAAGCGUGGGGAGCAAAAGGG
rnacentral:rRNA from 1 species